AACGAACGCUGGCGGCGUGCUUAACACAUGCAAGUCGAACGCGAAAGGGACUUCGGUCCCGAGUAGAGUGGCGCACGGGUGAGUAACGCGUAAGUAAUCUACCCCCGCAUUCGGAAUAACUCGUCGAAAGGUGAGCUAAUACCGGAUACGUUUAUCUUGAUGCGAAUGAUGAUAAAGAAAGGUGGCCUCUUCAUGAAAGCUACUGUGCAGGGAUGAGCUUGCGUACCAUUAGCUAGUUGGUAGGGUAAUGGCCUACCAAGGCGACGAUCAGUAGGGGUUCUGAGAGGAUUAACCCCCACACUGGUACUGAGACACGGACCAGACUCCUACGGGAGGCAG
rnacentral:rRNA from 1 species